UUUCUCCUGCGUUGCUCCGAGGGCUCAAUCCUCCUGCCAUCGCCGCCAUCCUGGCUUCGGGGGCGCCGGCCUCCAGGCCCCCGGGAGGAGAACUCCUAGCGCUACUAAAUCCUCGCUGGAGGCGGUGGUUUCUUAUGCGGGAGGACGUGGCGGAGGGCCUGACUUUGGGAGCCGGGGUCAGUCGGCCUCUGAGGUAAUCUGUGAAAAUGGUUCGCUAUUCACUUGACCCGGAGAACCCCACGAAAUGUAAGUGGACAGGAGGUAGAUACCUAUUUCCUACUUGGGGGUUGGCAUAAGAUACCAAAAAUUAACCAAAACGUUUUAUUUUCUAGCAUGCAAAUCAAGAGGUUCCAAUCUUCGUGUUCACUUCAAGGUAUGCGAUUCAUAGUUGUGAUCCAACAGUUCCUCAUGUUCCACUCAAAAAAGGUAGCUGCAGUGAUGACUUUCUUAGGACACCUUUGGAUUUACCGUGAAAAUUAAUAAAUUCUGAGCAGCCACCUUAUAUUUAGGCAUUGAUGAUCAGGGUGUAAGGAUGUAGCGUUUGUACCAGAAAACCAUUUGGAAAUCUAGUGUGCAGAUCAAGAUGGAGCAUUUUAAUUGUAAUUACAUGGUGAUGGAAUUUAAACAUUUUAUAGUGAAUAAAUGGAGUUUUGGAGUUUUCUCUAGCUUCAACGAAGUUUACCUGGCUUUUAGUCACAAGUUUUUUUAAUUGCCUUGCCCCCAAAGAAUAGAAAUAACUCGACAUUUUGAAAAGCUGAAAAUUUAAUGUUUACUUUAAAAAUUAAAGCUUUGAUCUAGUUAACCAACACUUUAUUCUUCAUACUUAGAACACUCGUGAAACUGCUCAGGCCAUCAAGGGUAUGCAUAUACGAAAAGCCACGAAGUAUCUGA
rnacentral:sRNA from 1 species